UUAUUAUAAAAAUAUUGCCAAUUUCUUGUUUGAUAAGUAUUGUAAUUUAUUUGUGAGAAACAAGGUUCCAUACCAUCAUGGAUAACUUAAAAUUUAGCGCAAUGGGUUCGGAUGACAAUAACUGGAGGACUCAGAGCGUAAGACAAACUGUUGUAUCAAAGAUUGAAGAGGUUAUUCAGAGGUCAGGAAUGCAGGUAGCAAGGAACAGUAAUGAAAUGGAAAAUCACGUUUUUAUGAAGGCUAAGAACCGUGAAGAGUAUAUGAAUAUGGUUGCAAAACUCAUCCUGCAUGUGAGGGAGAUGUCUCAAUCAAAACCAAAUCAAGGAGCCCCAAACAUGCAAGGUCCUAACCAAAAUCAGCCAGGUGCCAGUAACCAAGUACAAAAUCAGCAAGGUCAACAGCAACAAGGUCCUAAUAGCCAGCCUGGAAUGGCCACAGACCCAAUAAAUGCAUUACAAAAUAUGGCCUCCCAGGGGACAAGAAAUCAAAUGAUGACUAUGGGUCAAGGGCAGAUGCAACAGGGAGUUUUAGGCCCAAACCCAGGCAUGGCUGGAAUGCAAGGCCAGAUGAACCAACAAGGCCCCAUUGUAUCUCAGGGUCCACAAGCUCAAACAGCUACAAACUUACUACAAACAUUAAAUCAGAGACCACAAAUCAAUAUGCAACUGCAAAAUAAACUAGGAAUGGUCACUAAUCAAGGACAAAUGGGUGGUAAUAUGGUUGGAGGAAUGGGCAUGGGGAAUACCUUGGGAAGUCAGCUGCAGAAUCAGUUGAAUGCCUCAGGAAUGCAGGGACAGAUGAUACCAAACAUGUCCAUGUCAAACACCAUGCAAGUUCCAAUGCCAGGGGUUAAUACAAUGGUGGGGCAGAUGCAAUGCAAUCAAGUUGUUGGUGGAAUGGGAGCACAAAUGGCCCCUAAUCAAAUGCAAGGUCAAAUACCUAACCAAAUGGUAGGCGGCAUGGGUAACAAUCAACUUGUAAACAUCAACAUGCUGCAACAGAUGCAUCGUGGACAGGGUAAGGAGGUGGUGAUGGGAGCUGGAUAUGCUCCUCGGGCACCACCUCAUAACCAAUUCUUGAGACAAAGCCCAUCGCCCUCUGCUUCAUCACCUAAUAUGCCAGGUCCUAGCCCUGUAUCGAUGGGAGGAGGAGUAUUAAGCGGCGCAUUAUCGUCCCCCCUAUCUGGUCUAGGUGGUCUGGGUGCUUGCAGCGGUGGCAGCCCAUCGCCCUCUGCCAGUCAUCAUCUUGGACACCACCAGCCGCAACAGCGUGUAAACAUGGGCAUGGUGGCGUCGCCGUCGCCGUCGUCGUCUCUGAACACGCCGGCGGGCGCGGGCGCGGGGGGCGCGGGCGUGGCGUCGCCGGGGGGGGAGGACGCCGCCUACCGCGAGAAGGUGCGCCAGCUGUCCAAGUACAUCGAGCCGCUGCGCCGGAUGGUCAUGCGAAUGGUCAGCGAGGGCGAGAAUGUAGAGAAGUUGACAAAAAUGAAGAACCUUCUCGACAUAUUGUCGAAUCCGAAUAAGAGAAUGCCUCUGGAGACAUUGAUCAAAUGUGAGGUGGUGCUGGAGAAGCUGGAUUUCAAGCGAAGCGAGGGCGUCGGCCUGGGACUGCCGUCCGCUGGGAAGGAACAAAUCUUUAACCCGCUACUAGAGGUUGUGAACAAUUGUCUUCAGUCUCCGCUGGCCAAUCACACCCUGAAACGUACUUUCGGUUCCACGCUUGACGCACUCAACGGGCCUGAGAUCAAGAAUCUUCCACCACCACCUCAGAAAAUGCCAAAAAUGGACGAACCUACCCUGGAAAUUCCAGACGUUCUGCAGGGUGAAAUCGCACGAUUAGAUUCGAGGUUCAAGGUGUCGCUGGAGACGAUGCAGCUGUCGGGCGGCGGCGGCGCCAUCUCGCUGAUCGCGCAGCUGGACGACGUGCGCCUGCCGUGCGUGCCCGCCGUGCACGUGGCCGUGCCGCGCGACUACCCGGCCGCCGCGCCGGCGCGCCUGCGCGUGCGCAGCGCCGCGCCCGCCGCCGCCGACUGCUUCCUCGCGCGCGUCGAGCGCGCCAUGGACGCGCGCUGCGCCAGACUACCGAAGAGUUGCUCGGUGGGCCAGCUGCUGGACGCGUGGGAGAUGAGCGUGCGGCAGGCGUGCGCGCCGAGCCCCGUGUCCUACGCGCCCGUGCCCGCGCUCGGCCUGUAGGGCGCCGGCGGGCGGCGUGGGGUGGCGAGUCUUUUCCUUAUCUUGCACCUGGGGAGCUGUUUUGUACGAAACUCGAAACGAGCCGUUGAAAUCUCGUUAAAUGUCAGAUACUUAUGCAAAAACAUCAAGCUGAUAUGUCUGUUUUCGACAUUAUACGGGUUACGAGUGCGAGGAUCAAAUCGAAUACAGAAUAGCUUUGCUGCGCCUCCUAGAUGCAUAUCGACUGUGUCUCGAUUACGUGGACCUCGAUGUUGAGUCUCCAUCCGUGUACUCGUGGAUCUGAAGUCCCAAAGGACGCCAUUUGUUUCCUAAUCAUGACCUCAUGAUAUCGAAUGAAGCGACUCAUUGAUAGUAAAAUUAGUUUAUUUUCAUCUACUGCUGCCAUUGGAAUCGGAUAUACGUAAUGAAACAUUAUCAAUUUCAAAAAUUAUUAAAAGUAUACAUCUAUAAGUAUCUAUAUAUUUAAAUGUACAAGAUAAUUGUAUGUUGUGCAAGUAUGCUGAGUAAGUUUUAAAGGGCUAAGAAUUUAUGAUAUUUAAAACGUUUCUGCUAUAACAAAAGCAAUAAAUAAUGAUAGUGUGUAGUUUAAGAAAUAAAUGUACGAUUUAUUUUGUAGUACGUUGUAUUUCCAUCUUAAUGUCUUCCUUUGCAACGUUCAUUGUUGCAUUGUAUUUAUUUUUAUUGUAUGUGUUGCCUAAUGAAAAUAUCUUUAAAUAUGUAAAAUAAUAAUGAAAACUCUUCCUAUUUAUAUUCAACGAUCUUAAUGUAAAUGAAAUAUAAUAAUAGUUUGUUCUUGUAGAAUUAAGGUUUAAGUUUCGGAUUACGUUUAUUUUUUAAGUUUAUAACUUUUUUAUUACUUUAAUAUAUUUAAAAUAUCUAAUUGACAUUACAAUUAUUUAAAGUCGAUUAUUUAAAUUAAGGUAGCAAUAAGUUGUCUGCGUGCAUUUUGUUAAGUAUAAUGCUUGAUCCACACAAACGUUAAACUACCGAACUGGAUAUGAACCUUCGAAUUUCCUCAUUUUUUUUAACCGGAUGAAUUAUAAACAGAAUUGGUUUAUCAAACAUGUUUUUAUGUAUGUGUGGUCCAUCAAUACGAACUUAAUUUAUUUAAAUUCCACACCUCGUCAUCGUGAUUUUAAAAAAUUCUCCUACCACACACGUAGAUAUGUGGUAGGUACGUUAGACCACAUUGUGACAUCUUUAGACACAGGCAGUAUAGUUAUCGGUUCGAAGUAAAACGAUUGUAUGAAUCUAGCUUAAUAUGACCAUUUUUAUGAGUUUCUAUUGCAUUUAAAUAGAUUUUGUACAAAUAAUAAUUAAAACAACAUAAAUUUCUUUUGUCGACAUUUAGAUUUCGUAAAUAACGAGUAUUUAGAACGAUAAAACGGGCAUGAAAAUAUAUUUUUAGAACAUUUUGACUGUUCGUAUUUAUAGUUUUAUUUGUACAAACUCUAUGGAAAUAUUUAGCAUAAAAUAUAAAUAAAUAAAUUUAGGGGUGGACGAAGAUCACAAUUAUUUUAUAGCAGACACCCCUAAUUAUUUGGAAUAGUUGUAAAUAAUCGAUGAUAUUUUUUAUUAUUUAUAAGGAAAUUUACCUCUAGGUACAAUAGACUGGAAAACUCGAAAUAAUCAUAUUUAGGAUAGUUAAAAACAACUGUUUUUAAAUAUAGAAUUUUUCUUCCCAUAUUUAAUACGUAUUGAUUUGGUGUAGUGUGUCCAAUUAAGAAAAAAAAAGUUUCAUUUUAUAAAUACAAGUAAGUAUUAAAAAAUAAAUUUCUUUGCUGGUGUGAUAUUUGUCUGUGAUAAUUUAGUAAAAUUUCGACAAACAAAAAAAACCAUAUGUAAGCUAUGAAUCUGUGUUUAUUAUCAAUAUAUUAGUUAUUUUAAAAUGUUGACACACGUGGAAUACACAAAUUAUAAAUAUCAUAAUUUACCAGUUUUGUUAUUUUUAAAAUAUAUCGGCCAUGUUUGUUAGAGUCCGCCUAUAUGUAACAUUCAAAAUCUAUCAAUUAGGUACUACUACUCAUUUAAAAGCAAGUUGGUUAUAAAAAUUAUAAUUUUGAUUUUUAUUGCAUUUGACGCUUAAGGUCGCACGCUAAUUAUUUUAUCGGGAAAAAAAUGACACAUGUGCGUUAUAUAAUUAUUUUCUGGUGAUAUAUAAAUACAGAACAACGAAAAAAUUUGUGUCGAAGACCGUAACGUAAAACGUAAAUUAUAUUUUUCAAAAUAAUAUAUGAUUGUUACUUUAACGCAGUCAGCUUUUAUUUGCAUUAACACAAUUAAUAAGACAAAAAAAUGUUGACCUGAUAUGUUUUAAAGUGAGUUUCUCGAGUAAUAUAAAACGAUUUGUAAUUUGUGUAUUUGGUGACAUUUCCUCGUCACUGGUGUGUUAACAAACAGAUGAAUGUUACAUAAUAUUUAUUGUAAAUUAAGAAUUUUAUUUAUUAAAUUAAUGUUUAUUAAGUAAUUUAAUGAUGUAACCACGUUUUCUCGUCUCAAUAUUUUAAUGAUAAGUAGUGAAGUAAUUUCGAAUUCAUGUACAGAGUUGUUAUUGUAUACUGAAAAAGAUCUUUACUUUUUUUUAAAUUUUGUAAUGUAAGACCUCUUUUAUUAUAAAAAAAUAACGAAAAAUGUCUUUCCGAUAUUGUUAUUAUUAUUGUAAAUAAAUAUAUAUCAAAGGAAAGUAAAAGACGCAACAUAUAUGUCGUAUUAGAAUUUAACGUUCAGUAAGAAUAUUUCAUGAUGUACUAUAUAUAAAUGGAUUAAGUUACACAUAAUAUUGCUUAUUUUAAAGAAUUAGGUAGUCAUUACAACGGAAACAAUCAUGUCGACAGAUAAGGUAAGAGUCAAAUUCGAAAGUCAGCCAUUUUGUAUAUUUUUAAAAAGAUUUAUGAAAA